CAUCUGCAAUUUUAACGUUUUGCCAUUAAGAAGAAAGAAAGAAAGAAAGAAAGAAAAAAAAAAGGAAAAAAGGGAAAGAGAAGAAAUAAAAAUGUCUGUGAAGAGAAUAAUUUUUUGUGCGAGCUAUUCGCAAAAUCUACAUGCCGGAAGUUCAAGAGUGUAGUUCAUAUCUAAUCCAGGAAAGGGUUGAACACGUGGUGAACGAAGGAGACGAGUUCUAAUGAGAUCGUUAUUACGAUACAGCAAGCUAAUUUAGAGCAGUGCACUACUAGCGCGCCGAACCGCGAUGCCGCAACGCGUGCUUGGAGCACACUUUGAGACCGCGCGCGCCUCCCAGCUGCCGUAUCGACCCCUCCCCAUUGGAUGACACAUCCUCCAAUAACGAACCUCGAAAAGGAUUACGUCACUUUGGUAUUAUUGACGCCAACCAUCCGGCAGCAUCGCAGUGCUGGAUUCUUCAGGGUGUAUCUUUUCUCUAAUAGGGGAUGCAAGAAUUCUCAAUGGGUAGUCAGCUACAUGAAAGUUUUUCUCCAUCUAAAACUCACAGAGAAUCUCUAUCUUCGUUAAAAAAAGGAUACUUGUAUUUACUACGAGCUUGAAUGGCAUGAGAAUGUCGUCACCGACUCGGAAUUUAAAUCCUGCGACAGUGUGACAACGUUAAGUAGGUGCUCUCAACCCUUUACUCUUUGCUGACUGGUUGACACGCCGGCCAACAGGGUCUCUCAUUUGUAAAUCUUCUGUCGUUGCAAAAUCAGUCGUUGAACUUACCUUUGCCUCUUGUGCGAAUGUCAAGUACCGAAGUCGCGACAUUCGUCUGAAGCUUCUUUCCGUCAAGAUAUUUCCUGGUUGACUGAAAAUAUACAUUUUACUCAUUUUCUUAAUUCAAAGUAUUAUCAUUUUCUUUUUUUUUUAUUAUAUUUUUAAAUUUGUAAAAUUGCAUUUUACGAAUUCUAUAGUUAUUUUUUAAUCAAUAUUCCAAUACAUACACAUAUAAAAUAUAAUUCAAAAAUAGAAUUGAAAAAAAAAGUAAAAUUCCGAUUUUAAGAUCUUUAUAUUGUUAUAAAAUUAAUAUUCCUUCUAUUCGAAAAAUGCAGGAAUUACGUCUGAAAAAACUGAUUAUAAUAAAACAAUUAUUUCAUAGAAAACUCCUAAGUUCAAUAUAAACAAAAAUAAGGAUCUUAAACAAUAUACUUCUUAGCCUUAACUAAGAAAAGAAAAUAUAAAAUUUAUUUCUUUAUAUCGUUUAAAUAUGUUAUAUUAAUACAUUAAAUAUAAGUUUAAUAUAUGAGUUGAAAAUGUAAAUAAAUUACAAUUAUGUCAAAAAAAUAAAAAAUACUUAUUUAUA